rnacentral:tRNA from 2 species
GCCCUUAUCGUUUAAUGGAUAAGACAGCGUGCUUCUACCGCGCCAAUGUGGGUUCGAUUCCUGCUAAGGGCU